GACGAACGCUGGCGGCGUGCUUAACACAUGCAAGUCGAACGGAAAGGCCCUGCUUUUGUGGGGUGCUCGAGUGGCGAACGGGUGAGUAACACGUGAGUAACCUGCCCUUGACUUUGGGAUAACUUCAGGAAACUGGGGCUAAUACCGGAUAGGAGCUCCUGCUGCAUGGUGGGGGUUGGAAAGUUUCGGCGGUGGGGGAUGGACUCGCGGCUUAUCAGCUUGUUGGGGAGGUAGUGGCAUACAAAGGCUUUGACGGGUAGCCGGCCUGAGAGGGGGACCGGCGACAUUGGGACUAAGAGACGGACCAGACUCCUACGGGCGGCAACAGUGGAAAGUAUUACACAAUGAGCGCGAGCCUGAUACGGCAGCGCCGCGUGCGGGAUGACGGCCUUCGGGUUAUAAACCGCUUUCGCCUGUGACGAAGCGUGAGUGACGGUAAUGGGUAAAGAAGCACCGGCUAACUACGUG
rnacentral:rRNA from 1 species